rnacentral:rRNA from 1 species
AGUGAACGCUGGCGGUAGGCCUAACACAUGCAAGUCGAACGGCAGCACAGUAAGAGCUUGCUCUUACGGGUGGCGAGUGGCGGACGGGUGAGGAAUACAUCGGAAUCUACUUUUUCGUGGGGGAUAACGUAGGGAAACUUACGCUAAUACCGCAUACGACCUACGGGUGAAAGCAGGGGAUCUUCGGACCUUGCGCGAUUGAAUGAGCCGAUGUCGGAUUAGCUAGUUGGCGGGGUAAAGGCCCACCAAGGCGACGAUCCGUAGCUGGUCUGAGAGGAUGAUCGGCCACACUGGAACUGAGGCACGGUCCAGACUCCUACGGGAGGCAGCAGUGGGGAAUAUUGGACAAUGGGCGCAAGCCUGAUCCAGCCAUACCGCGUGGGUGAAGAAGGCCUUCGGGUUGUAAAGCCCUUUUGUUGGGAAAGAAAAGCAGCGGGUUAAUACCCCGCUGUUCUGACGGUACCCAAAGAAUAAGCACCGGCUAACUUCGUG